rnacentral:snRNA from 1 species
GGAUGUGAGGGUGAUCUGGCUGUGACAUCUGUCACCCCAUUGAUCGUCAGGGUUGAUUGGCUGAUCUGGCUGGCUAGGAAGUGUCCCCUUCCUCCCUCACUGUUCCAUGUGCAUCCCUCCCAAAGCUGCUGUGCUCAGCUGAAGAGGAUGGACCUGUUCUUCCAUCAUGGAUAUACGAGUAGCUGCGCUCCCCUGCUACAACCUCCAAAUAGGCUCUCAAAAUGGAGGGUAUCAACAAAGACAAAAUUGAAAUGAUUAAUACAAUUGA